rnacentral:rRNA from 1 species
AUUGAACGCUGGCGGCAGGCCUAACACAUGCAAGUCGAACGAGUGGCGGACGGGUGAGUAAUGUCUGGGAAACUGCCUGAUGGAGGGGGAUAACUACGGGAAAGGGUGGCUAAUACCGCAUACCAUCGGAGGUGCCAAGAUGGGAUUAGCUGGUUGGGGGGGUAACGGCUCACCAAGGCGACGAUCCCUAGCUGGUCUGAGAGGAUGACCAGCCACACUGGAACUGAGACACGGUCCAGACUCCUACGGGAGGCAGCAGUGGGGAAUAUUGCACAAUGGGCGCAAGCCUGAUGCAGCCAUGCCGCGUGUAUGAAGAAGGCCUUCGGGUUGUAAAGUACUUUCAGCGGGGAGGCGUUACCCGCAGAAGAAGCACCGGCUAACUCCGUGCCAGCAGCCGCGGUAAUAC